AUCCACCUGUCGAGUCCGAAAUAGGACGAAACGAGCGUCCUGAAU
rnacentral:hammerhead_ribozyme from 1 species